rnacentral:rRNA from 1 species
AACGAACGCUGGCGGCAUGCCUAACACAUGCAAGUCGAACGAAGCCUUCGGGCUUAGUGGCGCACGGGUGCGUAACGCGUGGGAAUCUGCCCUUGGGUUCGGAAUAACAGUUAGAAAUGACUGCUAAUACCGAAUGAUGUCUUCGGACCAAAGAUUUAUCGCCCAAGGAUGAGCCCGCGUCGGAUUAGCUAGUUGGUGAGGUAAAGGCUCACCAAGGCGACGAUCCGUAGCUGGUCUGAGAGGAUGAUCAGCCACACUGGGACUGAGACACGGCCCAGACUCCUACGGGAGCAGCAGUGGGGAAUAUUGGACAAUGGGCGAAAAGGCCCUGGAUACCAGUCAAUGCCCGCGUGAGUGAUCGAAGGCCUUA